rnacentral:tRNA from 1 species
GUAUAAGAAGCAAAAUAUUUGCAUUUAGUUUCGACCUAAACUUAUGAUUUUAUAAUCCUUGUAUG